UACGUAGGGUGCGAGCGUUAAUCGGAAUUACUGGGCGUAAAGCGUGCGCAGGCGGUUUCUUAAGUCAGAUGUGAAAUCCCCGGGCUUAACCUGGGAACUGCGUUUGAAACUGGGAGACUUGAGUGUGGCAGAGGGGGGUGGAAUUCCACGUGUAGCAGUGAAAUGCGUAGAUAUGUGGAGGAACACCAAUGGCGAAGGCAGCCCCCUGGGUCAACACUGACGCUCAUGCACGAAAGCGUGGGGAGCAAACAGG
rnacentral:rRNA from 1 species